rnacentral:rRNA from 1 species
UACAGAGGUCCCAAGCGUUGUUCGGAUUCAUUGGGCGUAAAGGGUGCGUAGGCGGCGCGGUAAGUCGGGUGUGAAAUCUCGGGGCUUAACUCCGAAACUGCAUUCGAUACUGCCGUGCUUGAGGACUGGAGAGGAGACUGGAAUUUACGGUGUAGCGGUGAAAUGCGUAGAUAUCAGGAAGAACACCCGUGGCGAAGGCGGCUCUCUGGUACGUGACUGACGCUGAGACGCGAAAGCGUGGGGAGCAAACAGG